rnacentral:lncRNA from 1 species
GACAGGAAGCUUGAGCCGAGUCUUAAUGGUGGAGCUUCGGGGCCUCAUGGGCCACUGCUUGAACACCUUGUUUACUAGUCUAGCUGUAGUCUGUGGAUCAUCAUAUGUUAGCUGAAAACAUCCAAUAGAUGUUCCCAGUUUCUUCUGAUUGCAUGUGCAUGGCACAGAUAAGGGGGUCAGCCAUUCAAUGGUCACAGUUGCAUUUUUUUGCUGGUAUGUGCGUGCAUGUGUCUGUGUGUGUUUAUGUGUGUUCAUGCCAUCGGUCAACCUCAGAUGUCAUUUUUAUGAGAUAGAAUCUCUCACUGGGACUGGAGCUUUCUGCGUGUCAGCCUUACAGACUGAGCUAUUUCUCCAACCCUGAAUCUCUCUGUUAAUGUGGCUCACAUUCUUGUGAACCAUCAAAGGCUCCUUGAGGCAGAGACCCACUGUGAUAUUACUGUACGUCAUUUAAUCUCCAGUCAUCUGAGUUGUGUUUGUUCAAGGUGAAUGUUUCCAGUGAACGGGUAAUUACAAUCUUUUAUGGCCUGGAUCCUUACCUGUUUAAACAGCGUUCACUGAGGUGGAUGGCCAAUAAGAGGCACAGUCAUGAAGCUAUGGGACGACCUGGAUGCAGAAGAACCUGGGGCCUUAGGAGUGAAGACAGCCAGGAGAGGCUGGUACCGGCCCGCCUCCCUCACGGAGUCUCCUGCAGAACUGAGAAGCACCCUGACCUGACUAUGAAUUUUUUUUUUUUUUUAGACAAGUUUUCCAUAUGUAGCUCUGGCUGUUUUAGAGCCCGAUAUGUAGAGCAGGCUGGGUUUUGAACUCAACAGAGAUCUACCUGCCUCUGCCUCCCAAGUGCUGGGAUUAGGGCAUGCACCACCACCACCUGGCUAAAUUUGUUUUUAUGAGUUAAGUCAUUUGUUUCACAUAUUAAAAAGAGACCGUGGGAGUGGC